GACGAACGCUGGCGGCGUGCUUAACACAUGCAAGUCGAACGGAAAGGCCCUGCUUUUGUGGGGUGCUCGAUUGGCGAACGGGUGAGUAACACGUGAGUAACCUGCCCUUGACUUUGGGAUAACUUCAGGAAACUGGGGCUAAUACCGGAUAGGAGCUCCUGCUGCAUGGUGGGGGUUGGAAAGUUUCGGCGGUUGGGGAUGGACUCGCGGCUUAUCAGCUUGUUUGUGGGGUAGUGGCUUACCAAGGCUUUGACGGGUAGCCGGCCUGAGAGGGUGACCGGCCACAUUGGGACUGAGAUACGGACCAGACUCCUACGGGAGGCAGCAGUGGGGAAUAUUGCACAAUGGGCGGAAGCCUGAUGCAGCAACGCCGCGUGCGGGAUGACGGCCUUCGGGUUGUAAACCGCUUUCGACUGUGACGAAGAGUGAGUGACGGUAAUGGGUAAAGAAGCACCGGCUAACUACGUG
rnacentral:rRNA from 1 species